CUGACUCGGAGAUUCCAGUGAUUCAGUCAGGAGAAAGUUUGGAAACUGGCAUGGAGUCAAUGGAAUAAGGCAAACAAGUAUUGAGGUCAUGGAACCUAUACAGAUAGAAGAGGAGGAGGUGCUUGCUACCUUGAGAUCCUAGGAUACAGAUCUUGUCUUGCCUAUACUGGAGUGACCGCCGGCGCUGGGCUAUAAACGUGCAGGAGUAAUGUGUGGCUAAGUGCCUUGCUCAGGAACACACCACGCUGCGUGGUGCUGAAGCUCGAACCAUUCAUCCCCUUGACAUCCCAGUCCAUGGCUAAAGCAGGCAAUGAAAUCAAAGAUCCCCACAACCUGGGACGUUCACCUUUCACACCCACCCCAGUCCGGGAGAAGACACAACAGCCAAAAAGCCCCACGACAAAAGCGAGGAGCCCCAGGAAGCGAGGCGAGAUCAGGGAAGUUAAUACCUGA